GGAGUUAGCCGGUGCUUCUUCUGUGAGUGAUGUCCUUCCUGCCGGCUAUUAACCCGCAGGCCUUCUUCCUCACUGAAAGUGCUUUACAACCCGAAGGCCUUCUUCACACACGCGGCAUGGCUGGAUCAGGGUUGCCCCCAUUGUCCAAUAUUCCCCACUGCUGCCUCCCGUAGGAGUCUGGGCCGUGUCUCAGUCCCAGUGUGGCUGAUCAUCCUCUCAGACCAGCUACGGAUCGUCGCCUUGGUGAGCCGUUACCUCACCAACCAGCUAAUCCGACAUAGGCUCAUCCGAUAGCGCGAGGCCCGAAGGUCCCCCGCUUUCCCCCGUAGGGCGUAUGUGGUAUUAGCCUGGGUUUCCCCAGGUUAUCCCCCACUACCGGGCAGAUUCCUAUGCAUUACUCACCCGUCCGCCGCUCGCCACCAGGUAGCAAGCUCCCCGUGCUGCCGCUCGACUUGCAUGUGUUAGGCCUGCCGCCAGCGUUCAAUCUGAGCCAGGAUCAAACUCUGA
rnacentral:rRNA from 1 species